UGUAUCGAGGGUGCUGCAUGGUUGUCGUCAGCUCGUGCCGUGAGGUGUCGGGCUUAAGUGCCAUAACGAGCGCAACCCCUUGUCGUUAGUUACCAUCAAGUAAUGUUGGGGACUCUAGCGAGACUGCCACCGUAAGGUGUGAGGAGGGGGGGGAUGACGUCAAAUCAGCACGGCCCUUACGUCCGGGGCGACACACGUGUUACAAUGGUAGGUACAGAGGGCAGCUACCCAGUGAUGGGGUGCGAAUCUCAAAAACCUAUCUCAGUUCGGAUUGGAGUCUGCAACUCGACUCCAUGAAGUUGGAUUCGCUAGUAAUCGCGCAUCAGCCAUGGCGCGGUGAAUACGUUCCCGGGCCUUGUACACACCGCCCGUCAAGCCAUGGAAGCCGGGGGUGCCUGAAGUUCGUGACCGCAAGGAGCGACCUAGGGCAAAACUGGUAACUGGGGCUAAGUCGUAACAAGGUAACC
rnacentral:rRNA from 1 species